GAUGAACGCUGGCGGCGUGCCUAAUACAUGCAAGUCGAGCGAACGGACGAGAAGCUUGCUUCUCUGAUGUUAGCGGCGGACGGGUGAGUAACACGUGGAUAACCUACCUAUAAGACUGGGAUAACUUCGGGAAACCGGAGCUAAUACCGGAUAAUAUUUUGAACCGCAUGGUUCAAAAGUGAAAGACGGUCUUGCUGUCACUUAUAGCUGGAUCCGCGCUGCAUUAGCUAGUUGGUAAGGUAACGGCUUACCAAGGCAACGAUGCAUAGCCGACCUGAGAGGGUGAUCGGCCACACUGGAACUGAGACACGGUCCAGACUCCUACGGGAGGCAGCAGUAGGGAAUCUUCCGCAAUGGGCGAAAGCCUGACGGAGCAACGCCGCGUGAGUGAGGAAGGUCUUCGGAUCGUAAACUCUGUUAUUAGGGAAGAACAUAUGUGUAAGUAACUGUGCACAUCUUGACGGUACCUAAUCAGAAAGCCACGGCUAACUACGUG
rnacentral:rRNA from 1 species